rnacentral:pre_miRNA from 12 species
AACUAAUGGCCAAAACUGAAGAGAACAGUCUGGCAGUGCAUGUUAGCUGGCUGUUGUCCCUUAUGUGUCCACAGCUGCUAUCUGCACUCCAUAUUGUUUCAUUCAAAAGCAUCAUGAAAAACU